GAUGAACGCUGGCGGUAUGCUUAACACAUGCAAGUCGAACGGGGUGCAUAGUCACCUAGUGGCGGACGGGUGAGUAACGCGUGAGAAUCUGGCCUCAGGUCCGGGACAACCACGGGAAACGGUGGCUAAUACCGGAUGUGCCAUAUUGGUGAAAGAUUAAUUGCCUGAGGAUGAGCUCGCGUCUGAUUAGCUAGUUGGUGGGGUAAAGGCUUACCAAGGCGACGAUCAGUAACUGGUCUGAGAGGAUGACCAGUCACACUGGGACUGAGACACGGCCCAGACUCCUACGGGAGGCAGCAGUGGGGAAUUUUCCGCAAUGGGCGAAAGCCUGACGGAGCAAUACCGCGUGAGGGAGGAAGGCUCUUGGGUUGUAAACCUCCUUUCUCAGGGAAGAAGAAUGACGGUACCUGAGGAAUCAGCAUCGGCUAACUCCGUG
rnacentral:rRNA from 1 species